CAAUAGCGUAUAUUAAAGUUGUUGCGGUUAAAAGCUCGUAGUUGGAUUUCUGUCGAGGGCGGCCGGUCCUUACUAUGUAAGUGCAUCUGGUUCGGUCUUGGCAUCCUCUUGGGGAUCGUUUCUGUGCUUGAUUGCAUGGGGCGGAAUUCAAGACUUUUACUUUGAGGAAAUUAGAGUGUUCACGGCAAGCUAUCGCUUUGAAUACAUUAGCAUGGAAUAAUGAUAUAGGACUUUGGUUCUAUUUUGUUGGUUGUUCGAGAACCGAAGUAAUGAUUGAUAGGGACAGUUGGGGGCGUCAGUAUUCUGAAGCGAGAGGUGAAAUUCUUGGACCUUCGGAAGACUAACAACUGCGAAAGCAUUCGCCUAGGAUGUUCUCUUUAAUCAAGAACGAAAGUUAGGGGGAGUCGAAGAUGAUCAGAUACCGU
rnacentral:rRNA from 1 species